CCUACGGGCGGCUGCAGUGGGGAAUAUUGCACAAUGGGGGAAACCCUGAUGCAGCGACGCCGCGUGAGCGAAGAAGUAUUUCGGUAUGUAAAGCUCUAUCAGCAGGGAAGAUAAUGACGGUACCUGACUAAGAAGCCCCGGCUAACUACGUGCCAGCAGCCGCGGUAAUACGUAUGGAGCAAGCGUUAUCCGGAUUUACUGGGUGUAAAGGGAGUGUAGGUGGCCAUGCAAGUCAGAAGUGAAAAUCCGGGGCUCAACCCCGGAACUGCUUUUGAAACUGUGAGGCUGGGGUGCAGGAGGGGUGAGUGGAAUUCCUAGUGUAGCGGUGAAAUGCGUAGAUAUUAGGAGGAACACCAGUGGCGAAGGCGGCUCACUGGACUGUAACUGACACUGAGGCUCGAAAGCGUGGGGAGCAAACAGGAUUAGAUACCCGUGUAGUC
rnacentral:rRNA from 2 species